rnacentral:lncRNA from 1 species
ACAGGAAGCUCGGCGCCGCACUUCCUACUUCCCAUCUGGGUCGCACUUCGACUGCAGGUGAUGGCCUUAACCCUGUCCGAUCCCAUGCAGGCAGAGCGCAGAGCAGUGGCUCUCAGGUCGGGGACCUGGCGUUGCCCCAGGAAUCCUGCGCCGGGUGUGAGCAGCACCCCCCACUGCGCUUCCUCCUGCUCACCCGCAAGCUUCACCUUGCUUGGCCUGCAGCUCUUGCAGUCUCUGUGUGUCUUCACAGGCCACCUUUCCUCUUCUUCUUUUAACAGCCCUUGACUUGCCUGCUCACCUCCCUCAAACCCUUCCUACCCCCACCACCAUCACCCUCCGCGCGACCCACCUCAACUCAAGUGUGUACUUUAGCUGUCCAAGUGCAUCUGAUGUGGGCAAAUCAAGUUAGAAGCCUUAGUAUACUUACAGUGAUUUCACUUCAAGUGCUUUGUCAAUAAAAGACGUGAGAAGCACAUGUAAGGUAACUAGUUAUAUUUUCACUUAAUGGAAAUCCAACAGCUAUUCCAGAAAACAGGAGUAGCAAGCCGCCAUGACAGCGGAUGCUUAAUUAUUACUGUGUUUUUAAUAAAUGGCAAACCCUCACUCUCACUGCCAGCCCCUACAGGUCACAAGAACAAGCCCAAACCUGUUGAACAUUGCAGUUUUGAAAGAUCUCUGGCACAGGGAUUUUUCUGUGGGCUUUCUGCAACCUUCCUUUCCUUUAGCAGCUAAGGUCAGGAUGUACUUCCUGAAGGGAAUGGGGCUCACAGAUGCUUCCUGGGACAGGUAAACGGGUGCUGUAAGGAAGCAGUCCACCUCUCAGCUGCUGGGAAAGCCCAGUUCAGAACACCGUGCGCAUGCGCAUGCCCCUAUAUGUAAAGCUAGAGGGGAAGAGAGGGACUGCAGACAGUAGAAUACACAAUAGGGACCUAAAGGUCUGAGUGGUACUUGCCUUUAAUCCCAGCACUCAGGGAGGCAGAUCUCUGAAUUCGAGGCCAACCUGAUCUACAGGGUGAAUUCUAAGACAGCCAGGGCUACACAAAGAAAGCCUAUCUUGAAAAACAAAACACAAAAAAAGGAACCUAAAAUCAUACAACCAGAAGACAUUUGAGCUUGCAAAGUCCUAGUUAUUUUAACCCAAACAAAUGAGUUUAAAGAGGGUAUUUAGGGGCUGGGCGAGACCACACCUGUGAUAGGAUCAAAAUUGGUUUAGUGAGAAAAAUAUGUAUUAGCAAAAAGUGAGGAGGAUGAAGAGCUAACUUCAGAUUGAAUGGGACUUAGGGUCCCAAGUAACCUACCCCCCAGAAAGAUUCUUGGUGCUGUAACCAUUCCUGAUGGAGGAGAGACAGGGAAGAUAAACAGAGCGCCUCCUAACAGACCAGCUCAUGCCUCAGUGUUGAUACCAAUCUUCUGAGCCUCAAGCCAAAGUUCAACACAGAGUCCACUUUUUACAUCACCCUGCAAUUAAGGUGUGGGCUCUUAUCAGCCGGAUAAGGGGAGAAGCCACAGCCAAUAUGAAAGAAAAUACAGGCCAGGCACAAUCAUGCUGCUUUUUGGACACAGAGAACUGAACCACAUCAAAGUGGAUGUAAAUUU